rfam:Cavia porcellus supercont2_44 genomic scaffold, whole genome shotgun sequence.
UGGGAUUUAGCUCAAAGGCAUAAGCACCUGCCUUGCAAGCAGGCGGUCGUGAGUUCAAUGCCCAGUACCAA